rnacentral:rRNA from 1 species
CAAUAGCGUAUAUUAAAGUUGUUGCGGUUAAAAAGCUCGUAGUUGGAUUUCUGCUGAGGAUGACCGGUCCGCCCUCCGGGUGAGUAUCUGGCUCAGCCUUGGCAUCUUCCUGAAGAACGUAACUGCACUUGACUGUGUGGUGCGGUAUUUAGGACAUUUACUUUGAGGAAAUUAGAGUGUUUCAAGCAAGCGCACGCCUUGAAUACAUUAGCAUGGAAUAAUAAGAUAGGACCUCGGUUCUAUUUUGUUGGUUUCUAGAGCUGAGGUAAUGAUUGAUAGGGAUAGUUGGGGGCAUUCGUAUUUAACUGUCAGAGGUGAAAUUCUAGGAUUUGUUAAAGACGGACUACUGCGAAAGCAUUUGCCAAGGAUGUUUUCAUUGA